rnacentral:rRNA from 1 species
AGUGAACGCUGGCGGUAGGCCUAACACAUGCAAGUCGAACGGCAGCACAGUAAGAGCUUGCUCUUACGGGUGGCGAGUGGCGGACGGGUGAGGAAUACAUCGGAAUCUACUUUUUCGUGGGGGAUAACGUAGGGAACUUACGCUAAUACCGCAUACGACCUACGGGUGAAAGCAGGGGAUCUUCGGACCUUGCGCGAUUGAAUGAGCCGAUGUCGGAUUAGCUAGUUGGCGGGGUAAAGGCCCACCAAGGCGACGAUCCGUAGCUGGUCUGAGAGGAUGAUCAGCCACACUGGAACUGAGACACGGUCCAGACUCCUACGGGAGGCAGCAGUGGGGAAUAUUGGACAAUGGGCGCAAGCCUGAUCCAGCCAUACCGCGUGGGCGAAGAAGGCCUUCGGGUUGUAAAGCCCUUUUGUUGGGAAAGAAAAGCAGCAGGUUAAUACCCCGCUGUUCUGACGGUACCCAAAGAAUAAGCACCGGCUAACUUCGUG